rnacentral:rRNA from 1 species
AACGGCCAUACCAUGCUGAAUAUACCGGUUCUCGUUAGAUCACCGAAGUCAAACAUCAUUGGGCGUGGUCAGUACUUGGGUGGGUGACCACCUGGGAACACCGCGUGCCGUU